rnacentral:lncRNA from 1 species
CGCCAGUGCUGUCGUAUGUGCUCCUUCGACUUUGUCUUUAGCGCUUUUUUAUAAAAACUGUUGGAUUUCAGGAUGCGGCAGUUAUGCAUUAUCAUUCGGCAGACGUGCUGUGGCGACGACUUUUCAUGUCAAAGCAUGAAUCGGGCCAAAGAAUGAGUUUUCUUCUUUCUGUCAAUUAUCAGUCUUCAUUAUGGCCUGACAGUACUUAGGAUGUAGUGUGCUAGAACUGAUCCUGUGUACUUGGUAUAAGUUAGUACAAAUUUUUUUUAAACGUGGCAUUAAAAUUAUACUGGUGCACCCUAUUGCAUUAUCUGUCGUAUCCCAGUGAGAGUUUUACACAGUUUUUUUUCUAGCAGUAAUACUUUUAGGGAGGAUAUUCUUGGUUACAUUCUGAAACAUUUGGGUGCAUGAGAAGUGCCGUGAAAUGUUUUUUACUAUUUUGGCCAAGAAGCUGCUCUAUUGCGCAGUUUAUUUUUAUUUUGUUUAGCUUGCUUCUUCUAUGUUCUUGCUAUGUGAAGCAUCAUUGUAGCAUGAAUCAACUUUUUAAGCCGGAGUUUGUGAGUCUAGGUACACAGGUAGCUGCCUUUGACGUACUAUUCACCGAUAAUUGCACUUUGGUUUUGCUUGAUUGUGUGUGUGCUUUUAUGCCAUUUUACUAUGUACCAUGAGAUUUGUAAGGAUUCCUCGCUAGUUGCGAUUUCUCUCUUUUAUUAUGUGCUUUCGAUUUUACAUUUUUCUCAUUCUUUGGCUAGUGCGCGGUCCUGUUUGCUUGGAUGGCAAUAUAUAAUUUAUCUUUCUUUUUUUAGGCUCCCGAAAUUCACAUGCUGCAUUGUACUGGGCAAGUCACAAUGUUUAGAACACGACUUUUGAGCUUUGGCUUGUAGUAUUUUAUCCUCAUAAGAUGAGCUGACAGGGCUUUGCAUGGGAAGGGCAUACACAACACUUUUGUCUCAAUUAUUAUGUGCAUUUAUUAUAGAAGCUGCAUAUGUGAAAAGCAGCAGUUUCUUGAACAUUCAGUAAAUGUGCCUUAUGGUGACUUUCUUUUUGCUCCAAACUGAGCUAUCUGGAAUAUUAAAAAAUAUCUUGGAACCAUUCUGAGUAGUGAAAACUAGGCAUAGGCUCAAGGAAGGAUUGUGUGCGGCAGUAAUAGUGAUACAAAGGUCAAAUUUGUCUCCUCCCCCUCUUUGGGUUGGUCGACAUUCAAGGUGCUGUAGCAAGGUGUUGGUUUUGUUGUCGUGUCUCCAAAGACAACAGCACACACAUUUGUUCCCUUGAACAUAAAGGUUAGAUUGCAACUGCACAGUACUAUAUGCUUUCUGCUGUGUUUGUGCCAUGUGUGAUGUUUAUGCUUUGUUGAAGGGACACCAUAGAGGAACCUUGAGCUGAAUUGGUAAAUAACCCUUCAGGAAUAUCAUGGGCACCGUCAGUGGAGUGCUUGCGAGCCAUAAAAGACACAAAAAUGAUAGAUGGGUUUGAACUUCCUGUGCUAGCUCCUUGCGACAUCAUGAGAUUUGGACAGCGUCUGUUUGGGACUAUCUAAUAGUCUUAAGCAGAAAGCGCAAUCCCAAUACAAUUCAUGUUCAUUGGUCAACAUGGAUUGCAUUGCAUUCUAAAAGAGCUAAAGACUCAAUAUAUUGAGUUUUGAGAACUUUUUCUCAAUAGAAUAGCUCAAACAUGCUAAAGUAUUUCAAAAUCUUUGACGUCCUCUUAGCACUGGUUCUUCCAAAUUGGGCGUGAAAGUCAGAAAGGGAAACCUUGCCCUUUGUUUUCUUUGCCUAAUAAGCAAUCUUUUUCUUCAAAAUAAAGGUAAUUAGAGUCCUGAAAAAAAAAAAAAAAGCUUAACCAAACUAAACUAAGUGUUGCUCUUCAGUGUCCUUUUAAAUGUUCAGCUCACUAAGAACUCUUGUGUGCAUUUGUAGAAGUCUGGCUUGGUUCUCGUGCCUGUGAAUUUCACGAUUGCCUAGAAGAGCUUAUGCUGUAUGCAACCUCAAAUCACAUGCACUACACCUUACCCCUGUCAUGUUUACUGUGCUCUCACUGCAUUACAACUUUGAGGACACCUCUAAAGCCAAAAACAGAAUUGUUGAGUGCUAAACUCAUACUUGCGAUGUUGUAGUUUUGAUGUGAAUCUGUCAAUUAUGGAUAGUUUAUACAUUUGCAAUGUGUUUGGUAUACCUGGUGUCGGCGACUGAGAUUGGAUAAGCUACACCGGCAACAUUAGAAGUCUUGUACUGUGUAUCACACAUGCGGGCCCACACUGUUGGCGUCUCGAUGAUGGUGCUGAUGUAGUCUGGUGCACUAGGAUAUGCACUUAAUCCAACAUUGGCUGCUGGUUCUGAAUUCACUAUGCAUGUUAGAGUAUAAAUGAGCCUUUGAAAUUUUCACAGUUGCUUCCUUCUGGAGACAUCCAAGCAACUGGAAUGAGCAUGGAACAAAGUGGCAGACUUAAGUGUUUGGAUGUUCUCACAUUCUUCAAUGCAGCUUUAAUAGGGCUUCUCUCAACUGUUGUGUUAGUUGUCGGGCUCAGUGCUGCAAGAAGUAUAAUUCAUCUAUGCUGCACAGUAGGUGUGGGGCAUGCAAUAUGUGCGCUGGUUGGUGCAAGUAAGCGUAAUGCAAGCUUGAUCAAAUCUGUGCUCUUACUUCGUCUGCCAUUUUUUUCUCUCUCCGUACCUGUGAUUUUGCAUCAGGAGAUUUUGUAUGACAAAUAAAAUGGCUGAUGGUAGCAUUGUGGCCCA